GUGUAUAUGUACAACCGAGUCCGCUGUAGGUGUUCAGGCGCUGCUAGCCUGAACAGGAGACUGUAUAACACAGAUGAACACGAGAAACGUGCACAGAAUAGGCACGUCACGAUAAUACAGACUGUAAAAUAUACCCCUAAAACGAGAAAAAGAAGGUUGUAAAUAGGUCUAUAACUCACACCCUUACAAGGGCCGGAGUUAGAGACGAAUAUACAUACACUCUUUUUUUUUCUGGUUUUGAGCCUGUAAAUUAUUUUACAGUGUAGUACAAGGCCAGUAGUAGGAAUUAUGCAUACACCGGACUCUCGACUGAACAGGCGACUGUAUCGCAUACAGAUGAACAAGCCAAACGACGGUGUAAAAGCCAAAAGACAACGGUACAAAGCCAGUUCGAGGAGAUAUGCGUAAACCAGACCCUUUCUUUUUUUUUUUUUUUUUCGCAUAUAACGGCAGUUGCAGGAUUAUCGCACCGUGAAUAGUGGGGAAGUGGGGGGGAGGGGGGGGG
rnacentral:lncRNA from 1 species